CCUACGGGAGGCAGCAGUGAGGAAUAUUGGUCAAUGGACGAGAGUCUGAACCAGCCAAGUAGCGUGAAGGAUGACUGCCCUAUGGGUUGUAAACUUCUUUUAUAUGGGAAUAAAAUGUUCCACGUGUGGGAUUCUGUAUGUACCAUAUGAAUAAGGAUCGGCUAACUCCGUGCCAGCAGCCGCGGUAAUACGGAGGAUCCGAGCGUUAUCCGGAUUUAUUGGGUUUAAAGGGAGCGUAGGUGGAUUGUUAAGUCAGUUGUGAAAGUUUGCGGCGCAACCGUAAAAUUGCAGUUGAAACUGGCAGUCUUGAGUACAGUAGAGGUAUGCGGAAUGCGUGGUGUAGCGGUGAAAUGCUUAGAUAUCACGAAGAACUCCUAUUGCGAAGGCAGCUCACUGGACUUCAACUGACACUGAGGCUCGAAAGUGUGGGUAUCAAACAGGAUUAGAUACCCUAGUAGUC
rnacentral:rRNA from 1 species